rnacentral:rRNA from 1 species
GCCUACGGGGGGCAGCAGUAGGGAAUCUUCCACAAUGGGCGAAAGCCUGAUGAAGCAACGCCGCGUGGGUGAAGAAGGUCUUCGGAUCGUAAAACCCUGUUGUUAGAGAAGAAAGUGCGUGAGAGUAACUGUUCACGUUUCGACGGUAUCUAACCAGAAAGCCACGGCUAACUACGUGCCAGCAGCCGCGGUAAUACGUAGGUGGCAAGCGUUAUCCGGAUUUAUUGGGCGUAAAGGGAACGCAGGCGGUCUUUUAAGUCUGAUGUGAAAGCCUUCGGCUUAACCGGAGUAGUGCAUUGGAAACU